rnacentral:rRNA from 1 species
UACGUAGGUGGCAAGCGUUGUCCGGAUUUAUUGGGUUUAAAGGGUGCGUAGGCGGCUUUUGUAAGUCAGUGGUGAAAUAUGGCAGCUCAACUGUCAAGGUGCCAUUGAUACUGCAGAGCUUGAGUACAGAUGAGGUAGGCGGAAUUGACGGUGUAGCGGUGAAAUGCUUAGAUAUCGUCAAGAACACCUAUAGCGAAGGCAGCUUACUAAGCUGUAACUGACGCUGAGGCACGAAAAGUGUGGGGGAUCAAAACAGGG